CCCUUAGAUGUUCUGGGCUGCACGCGCGCUACACUGAAGCUAUCAACACGUUUUCCCUCCCUGAGAAGGGCGGGUAACCUUUUGAAUCAGCUUCGUGGUAGGGAUCGGGGCUUGCAAUUGUUCCCCGUGAACCAGGAAUUCCUAGUAGACGCGAGUCAUAAGCUCGCAUCGAUUAAGUCCCUGCCCUUUGUACACACCGCCCGUCGCUACUACCGAUUGAACGUUUUAGUGAGGCAUUUGGACCGACGCAUCUCAGUUUAACCGCUGGUUUGUGUUGGAAAGACUUCCAAACUUGAGCGUUUAGAGGAAGUAAAAGGCGUAACA
rnacentral:rRNA from 1 species